AUUUUUUGGUACUUUCUGAUGGCAAGUUCUUGCCAGCUGUAUCUGGCCCUUCCCAGCGGCCGGUGGUGCAAUUUAGGACUUCACACCAUUUCAGUAAAGCAGCAUCCGCUGCUCUGUAGUUUGUUAGUACACAUUACUUUCCCAGGUAAGCUUAGUUUUAAGCCAGAAAAUGGAAAUAGAGUAGGAUGAUGUAGAAAGGAAGGAUGGGAAGCCUUAAGGAAAGCAAUCUGGACAGCGUUCGGUCUAUUGAGUGGCUUCCUUAAGUACAUAAACGUCUGUAGGGAGGUCCUCGUAUGAAGGCUGGUGGAAAGUAGAACAUCUCAUUUAUUCCCACCCUGUUGCUGCUAGAGGUUGUGCGACCCAGUGCUUAGCUCCUCCCUGCACCUGCUGUUCCUGGUAGCACCUGCCCAGCUGUGCUGCUGGUGUUUGCUGGGCCUUCAUUGCCCCUAUGGGGCAGCAGGCAGCAGCGUGCCUUGUGCAGAUCUCUUUAAAAGACUGUCGUAAUGUGGUUGUUAAGAAUUAAAUGGAUCUUUUUUAAAAAAACUGAGUUUCAAAUCACCUCUUCGGGGAGGAGUUAUGUUGGUAGCAAACUGGUUUAAAAUGCUUCUUCUCCUUUUUCUUUAGUUAGUUGGCAUUUUGGUGAUGAAACGAAUGUUGAUGUAUGCUACUAUAUUAAAAAUCCACUUUUUUUUCCCUCUUGCCAUCUUUUCCUUAUGUUUGGAGGCUUUUUAUGGUGUUCCGUUUCUUUUGUGCAUUUCUUCUUAUUCUCUGCUUUUUUGUGUGUGUGUGUGCCUCCCAACAUUUUAGGCACUGGUGUUUUGUUGCAGCACAGGGCAGGUGAUUCCUUGUUGUCCUCUUGUUAAGCUUUAUUUCAGCUUUAUAUUCAGCUUUACUCUGAAGGCAUGGCAAGGAGAAAGGCUUUUAGGCUGCUUUCCUCAAGGAAUAGAUCUGGAAGAGUGUAAGGACUGUGCAAGAGCAGCAAGCACGUUUUGCUCAGCUGCUGAUGUGUGGAGGGAACCUGCACACCUUUAUGCAGCUGAAUGGGAAUGGUGGGUAUGCAUACUUGCCUUGAGCAACCUACUCAAAAAAAAAAAAAGACUUAACUAGCUGCUGGACAAAUGUUUCUGUAUGGGUUGUAUUACUGAAAACAGAAUCAAAAAGGGUCAUGCUGCUUUCUUUUUUGAAGACUCUUCUUGUGCUUGGCAACUUGCCUUAUGUCACGUAAAUAGCUCUAUGGUGGGAAAAGGUGAUAGUGAACAUUGAUGGGUGGAGGCAUGGGACUUGUGAAAGGAAAGGAGUGAUGGAGCACAUUCAGAGAGAUGUGAUGAGGUUUUGCAAAAAUGGUAUAAAACAGCUAUUGAGAAAGAUCUGAGAGGCAUCUGGAGGGCUGAGUUCAAAAGGGAGAUAGAUUGAAGAGAGGUUUGGCUUGGACAUCAUUGAUUUCAAUCGUUGCAGGAGGGAUGGGCUGGAAACGUGGGAAACGCUGAGUUGAAAAAUACUGAGUGAUAGUGAAGAGUAGAAGAGGAGGGAGGUGCUUCUGCCAGGCUGGGAUUAUGUGAACUCCAGAGGGCUGUCUGCUCUACUGGCUCUCAGUUUAGCUCUUCUGUGUAGAGAGGAAUGAAAGGUUUGGUGCAAGAACUUGAGAUCACAGCUUGUACGCUGUGCCCUGCUUAAUGAACCAGGAAAUUUGCUGCUUACAGCGUCUCUCUCCAGGAUGAUGUCCCACAUUAGCACGCAGUACAUGAAUAAUGGCACCUGCUGCAAUACAGACUGCUUUCUACAGGUUCAGUGGAAGUGCUUUGGUUCCUUAUUUCUGAAGUCUUCAUUGCAUCUGAUACCUUCUUAAAGACCUUCUUCUGAACUGUCCCCUUCUCAAGGGUAUUGUCCUCUCUCCACUGUCUCGUUACAGCCUGAAGGCUCCUCUGCACCCCAGAAUCAAGGCCAUUUCCCAAAGUUUCUACAAAAUGAGACUGUAAACUCUGAAUCUCAUUGCUUGAGUUUGCAGAGAAACAUCCUGUGACCAGAGCUGUAGCCAGUCCCCAGCUGGCAAACUUUUGGUCCGGGGGAUAAGAUUUGGAGAUCGUAUUAUAGGGCAAUAAGAUGGGACUGGGCAACUUUUGCUUAAAUAGGAUGAAAAACCUACUUACUUGAUAAAAGUCCUGAUUUUGGCAGAGUUUCUCUUGACCAACAUCUGGAAGAUUGGGUAACGCUGGUGGAAUUAUGGAUUUCUUUAUGCCAGCCUGUGGUUUCGUUGCCCCAUAGUGCCCAGUUGCUGCAUUGAUCAAGCAGGUAGAACAAAAUCCCCACCAUUUUGCUAUGAAAGACUGAAGUUGGGGUGCAAGCCACUGUCAAUGCGACCAGCUUCUCCACACUUAGUUUGUCUGGCUUCUCUGCUUUUCCUGGGACUGAUGGCAAGAUUCCGGCAGAGCAAGAAGUCGGGACCUGUGCGUUAAUUUGUUGUCUCAGCCUAUGAGUGUGAGCCUGGCCAGGGUUGGUCGCUCAGGUUGUAUUCAUUGUGUGACAUGUUUUGACUACCAGAGACAAGCUUGUGGAUCCUAGUUAAGCUAUCAGCCUAUGGAGGGUAUUUUUGGUCUUGUGAAACAGUAAGGACAGUGACAGCUAGAAGCAGGAUGAGCAGUGCUCUCAGGAGAAUACUGCAUUCCUGCAGAUGUCUUUUUUGCAGCAUCAUGGAAAUGUUGCUUACGCUCUGCGGGGUCUGUAGUUCAGCCUCCUGCUUGGAACAGAAGUACUGUCCUUCCUCAAUCUGGCUUUAUCUGGUUGAGUUGUGAUAACUCUGAGGACAGAUUUUUCUUCCUUCUCUCAUCUUCCCUGUCCUCUUUCACAAUUGCCUGCAAUGGAAAUGGAUUUGAGGAUUGAGGAACCUUUUCUGAGCUGUUACAUCUGUUGUAAGGUUAGCUUGGAUGGAGAAAGCCAAGCUCUCAAGCAAAGGAGGAAAAAACUGAGAGUGUUGCACAUCCGUGUGAAAGCCACAGUGGUCAGGGUCUUAUGUUGGGUAUUCUUUCCUCCCUAAAUAAAUUCGAGAGCAAGAAAUUUGGAUGAUUUAUGUUCAGAGCAAUGCAGGAGCACGACUCCAGGCUCCUCCAGGAGGGUGGGACUUAUCUGUUAGGGCUUUGGCACAUUUUGCAAUGCCAGGGGAUGGAUGGGUGGAUGCUGUCCUGUGCAGAUGCGUCCCCUGCGUAGUCCAGUACUGCCAGAGAAGUUGGAAGAGGCAGCACUGGGAGGUGCAUAUGCCCUGGAGCUGCUUUGCUGGCCAGAGAGGGGCUGUGUAGAGCAGUGUGCCAGAGAAAGGAGAUUGGUUUGGGAUCUCAAAGCCAGCCCUGUUUUAUAAGUGGAGAGAAGGCAAGAUAGGAGAGCUGGGACCAGGUUGGUAAUUGCUGUUACGCUUUCUUUGGGAGGCAGUUUUGCUGCUGUGGCUGCAAGAGGUUUUGCGACAGGAGGAAGGAGUGACUUGUUGAAAGGUGUCCACGUGGCAAACAAGUUUGAGGAGGAGCGCUUACAGGAGGUAUAGCAUAAGUGGUUACUAAGAGAAAAGAGCUGACCAUAGUCCUCAAAACCAUGGUAUGAAACAUGCUGGCCGCAUCAGCAGGGUGAGGAAGCAGUCUGGGUAAGCCAAAAUCAAAUCACCUGCUGAUGGCAAGAUGCCCUGGGUGUGAUUUGGUGUGCUGGUGGCAGCAACCUGAUGUUCCUGCUUUGAUACUCAUCAAACUUCUGAAGAGUGCAUUUUUCUAAUCAGCUUCAUGGCCUUUUUUUUUCAGAUGAAACAACAUACCCGGUUCAUCUGAUACGUGCCUGCAGCUGAACUUUUUAUCUAUUAGCCCGCUUCCUGCAGCAGUUGUGUGUGAGCUCGUUUGGUCUUGCACAGUUCCAAACCCACAAAUUGGUGAUCAGCGCUGUGACUGCUUCUCUGGUGCUCCCAGUCUGAUGCCUGCUGCUCCGGGCGAUUUCUCUCCAAAAAACUGUUUGCAAGGAUGACUCAUGGCAGAAGUGGGCCUGUUGCUGCUUGUCACUUCCUUCUGGCAAAAGCCAUUGGUGUUCAGCUUGUUUGCACAUCUGCUUGUUGGGCUAGAGUGAUUUAUUUAAAACUUUGUGCAUUCGUGUGCAGCAAAGCUUGAGAAGUCCAGUUCCCUUCCGUGUGGAGCACGUGGUUCCUUUCUGCUUUCUUAAUGAAGAAUUAAGAGACCCUAGGGAUGAGACGCAGCCUGAUGAUGGGAGCAGUUACACCGUUGUGUAUUUGGUUAAUACCUUCUGACUUCACUCUUCCAAAAGUUCAGACAAAGCGAGCUUGGCGUAGCAGCAGGGAGAGUUGGGAAGGUGGAGGUGAGGCACAGUGAGAUGGAAGGGAGAUAAAGAAUGCCAUGCGUCUAAAUAACCGAGUAUCCAAAGGCAGACUUGAAAUUUGACAAGAAUUUGACAACCUGGGAUAGUAGUGGGUUGUUUCUUUUUCAUCGUGGCAUCUUGCUGCAGAGCCUUAAGAUGUAAGAAUAACAGUUUUGAGUAUGCAUCUGUGCAGCCAUACAACCGUUUGAGUUUCUGGUUACUGAAAGUGGUGUCCUGCCUCUGUGGCUGGAGGCGGCUGUUCAGAGAUGAUUAAGAGCAGGGUGCACGUAUAAGAGAUCAACCUGUACCCAAAACUGGUUAGUGGCUCGGGACUUCCUGAGCCUGCUUCACUAUUUAGUAAUUUUCAAUGUAUUUCUCUUCAGAGCACAGGUCCAGUGUCCCCUCAAACUGAUGCAUUAACUCUUUGCAACCACUGCCUCUUUGGGUAAGGGUUUUCACAGAUCCUAAAGCUGUAGGGUGAGAAGCGGCAUCUCCUUAAUGAGUUUUACUACAAAAUGCAGUUAGUCACUUCUGGUUGUUGCAUUGGAAGAGACAGUGGGAGGCCAAUCCCCCUCCCCUUCCCUUCUCUUCUACUUGUGAUUUUGGGGUUCUCUGGCAAAGGCAUCUCUUCUCCAGGCUGAAGACUCCUGUCCAAACUUCAUUUGGCAAAACAAUACUUCAGCACUGAAAGAUGGGGGGGGAAAAAAUCUGACAUCUUAUACCAUGGUAAAAGCAUCUUUAUAGAAGUGAUUUGCAUGGCCACUACAUUGUGCCUUGGUACUUAACAUGCAGCUGUGACUUAUGGUUCUGUACACAGUUUUCAUUUCCCAUGAGACUGUUCAGUUUUGGGUCAUCCUUUGUGUGAGGGAUGUAGCUAAUGGCACGUCAGUGACAGCUUGGUGAGGUGCAGAUGAGUUUCCCCAGGGGAUUUAUAUGUCAGGAGUCCAGCAUGUGCAACUGCAGUGGGUCCACAGGCCAUUGCACGUGGCAACAAUGCAGUUCUGUGUCAGUGUAUACAUAUAGUAUGCUGCAUGUAUAGGAUAGGCAGAUAGGCUGUCGAUGUAGACGAUGCAGUGUUAUUGGUAAAAACGCUAUUUCUCUUUGGACUGUGUGUUGAAUCUAACACUGUAAGAGCGUAAUCAUCAUUUUUAAUCUCAAGCUCAUGUUUGCUUCUCUUUUAUUGAAGCCCAUUGAGUAGCUUAAUUGGGAGACUUGCUCUUUGAUAAAUGUUUUGAAUAAUGAGACAGUAUAGUGGUGCUUCUGCCUAAUAAUACUUUUUUUAUAUCUCAUGUUGGAGUUGGUGCUCUGUUUCUUCACCAUGUUUAUAAGAUAGUCCAGGCCUAUCUUCCUUGCUAUAUUCCUUCCUUCCUAAAGGCUACCAGUUGCUGCUUUGGUCUGGAAUGCCCCAUGCAGGAGCACUGCCCAUCUGCAGCCUCCAGGCUUGUUGAUCUCUCUGUGGCUGCAGCUUGGCUUUUGUUCCACUUGCUGCCGAAAGCUGAUUUUUAUCUUAUCUGUGGUUGUUCACUGUGAGCUGAUGUGGUCCCCACUCUGAUUUCUGGUGCAAUGCGUCAGACUCACUGCAACUGGCACAAGUUUUGGGGCUGCGGCAGCAUAGCUGGGGCCUGAGAAAAAUCUGGUUUGUUUCAGCCCUUUUCCCUUCUUCCGUGCAGAAAUAAUCUGCUCUGUUGGCUGCUGCUCUAGCUUUCUUUAAAUUGGUACCUGCCUCUUCAGGGUUGGAAAAAAGCAGCUGUAAUCCUUCAGUCCAACCUCCUCAGGCUUUCUCGUUCGGAGCCACUUCUGUAUACAAUGUCAGCUGGAGCCAAAGCAUCUUUUUAAGGAUUUUUGAUCCUAAGUACACUGAUAGUGGACCAUUUCAGCCUGGAGGUGGCAGACAUCUGGCUUUGAUCUACGACCUUUUAUUGUAGAAGCCUCUAACCAACUGCAAGGCCAUAUCCAACACCCACAGACCUCAGGUGUAAGCUGUGUGCUGGUCCAUUGAAUAGUAAAUCCAUGGUAAAUACCAUCAGAUGGCUCUCUCCUCCAUGGGCAUGGCCAAUCAGUACAGGCUUUGCUCUUCUUGACGCGACAGUGGAGGCCAAAUAAUGGUCUGUUCCAUCUCCUGAUAUUUUGCAGUGCUCAGCUUUCCUUGCCCAUCGCGUGCUCCCAGUGAGAGCUUUCCCCUCUGUGCUCUCUCCUUGUAGCUUCUCCUUGUAUCCAUCUGGUUUUCUUUUAUUUCGCUGGAAUCCUGGUAACAUGUCCAAAUCUGAAGCCUGCUGUUCAUUCUUUCUUCACAAGUACGUGCUAACUUUACUCCAUAUAACAAAGUCAAAUAUGCUGUUUUGAUCUGGGUCUCUGUUUUGUAUUUGUAUAACAACUGUUUGUUCGUAUCAAAGCUUGUAAGCGAAGUGGAAGGAAAGGUGAUUCGGAUGUGAGACCAGCUCUGCACUUAAAAUAUAAAAUCCACAUAAUUAUUAUUUUAUCAAGUCAGACACUAAAAAAAAAAGCCCAAACUGAUUUUUAUUUCUUUUUCUUCAUCCAACAAGUGUCUUUGCCAACACACCUCUUGACUCUCACCAAACUCUGGGGCCUGACAAAGCAUAAACUCGCCAGGUUUUCACGAGGCUUGUGUGUGCUUGGCCUUUGCCAGACCUUGCACAGGAAUCUUUUGGUUUUUUGGAUUAAGCUUGGAAUAAAUUAACCAAAUAAAUUAACCUGUAUAUGCCACACAGACAAAAUAUGUUUUUCACGAGUCCAUUAGGUGAUAAGUAUGGGUCAAACCAGCAAGAGAUAUCUGCAACCUCAUCCAGGGACUUUCCAGCCUCUUUCCCUCCUCCAGGCUACCAGAGUUGUCCAUUGGGCUGGGAUGCUGGUGGUUUUCCAGACCCAUGGAUAAUUUGAAUAUUAAAAAUUCCUACUCUUUCUAUUCUUUAGAAACAAAGGAAGAAAACAAGGCGUUUUCAGGUUUUAAUGUUCCCUGUGUCCGUGACAGACACUGCCAGUGGACCAUCCUGCAUUCAGAGGCACUUGGGAUGCAGGCGCCUUACAUUCAGCUAUUGGCUUUCUGUUAGGUGCCACCGAGACUCAAGCAUGUUGUUUUCCUCUGUAGGAACAGACAGGACAGAGCUCACCCUCUCCUCCACCAAACACUGCUGGGGGCCCCACAACGUAUAUAGUGAAUCCUCCACUCAGAUGGAUGUUUUUUGCAAGAAAACUUUUUGCCAAAUGGGUGAAUUUUUCCAACAGCAGUAAAAUAAUGAGCUGCAAAUAUUUCUCAUAAGUUCAAUUUAAUAGCAAUGAUCUUUCAGACUGCUCUGUAAAAUGUGGCCACAAAUUUGUCUAAUAGAAUAGGAAACUAUUCUUUUUCCUCCUGUAAGUGAUUGGAUCAACAGGAUACUUCGGCUCCAAAAACGCUCUGUGGAAGUCUAGUAACACCCAACUGCCCACGUGUGCAGGAACUGGUAGAGCAAGGUCUCCACUGCCAACAAGCUGGAAGCUGAUGUGAUGGGAGAUGAGCCUGGAGUUAAGAUGAACGUGGUAGCCAGAAGGAAGCUGAUGCUGCUGGAAAUUGCAAGGGCAUAUCUGCUUGAGCAGUACAGGCGUCUUGCGUUGAGUUAAAGGGUACUGGUUUGCAGUAGCUGCUUGCUCUCUGGAGAUGUGACAGUGACCAAAACUGGGCACCAAGGGCCUCCCAGAUGAGCCCUGCCCAGCUUGGGUUAGAAGGGUUUGUUUGUUUAUCCUUGUGAUCCUCGGGAAAGCUUUUGUUUUCUUAAAGUUGCAGUAUUUCUGCUCACGAUGCUGUCAAAGGACUUGAGCUUUUAGCUUCAGAUGCAAAUCACUUUGUUGUCAGUGUUUCAUUGCUGCUGGCUCAAACUUGGCUGCCAGUAUUUGAUUAAUGAAAUCAUCAGUAAAAUUUCCAAGUGUCCAAGUCUGCUUUAAGGCAAUCAGGGAUUAAAGCAUAGCUGAAGGUCAAUGAAACUCAGGAUUUGCCCUGCCCUUCACUCUUAAAAAAAGAGCCUGGAGGCUCCUGAAGUACUCAAGAUGCCUCUGAAAGCGGAGCUCCCUGUUUGCAGGGAUGUAGCCAAAACCCAUGUUUCUAAACAGAUUCAAUUAAACGAAGAUCAUCUCCCAGGGAAAUUCAAAUUCAGAGGUUUGUGAUUAAUUAGGUAUUGGACUUCACUGAAAAUUUUCCUGAACAAACUAAAAAUCAGAACUUUCCCACUGUACAACCCUUCCCUCAGCACGGUUUCACUAUUACAUAGUUUUAUUUGCUACUGUAUACAUGAAAGAAAAUAUAAUCACUAUUAUGCAUAACUUUAAUCUAUACGGUUCUGUGAAAUCCUACGUGCUUUCUAAUAGGAAAUAUAAAAUGUAAGCCUUGCUAAAAAUAUCAAUGUUGAUUAUUGCGCAUACUGAUGGCAGGAUAAGGCUUGUGUAUUAGAUUUAUUCAAGAGACAUUUCCUCUUUUUUUAAAAAAAAACCAACAAAACGACACGCCAUCUCUCUGGAGAGUAGCAACACUUUCUCAUGGAGAAAGACAUAGAAAGCGACGUGUCGCUUUUGAUCUUAUUCUGCAUAGUGGUGGAAGAAGGAUGCUGAAUGCUUUCCCGCAUCAGAGAUCAGAGCAGAUUUGGGUUGUUGCAGACUGCGCUGGUGUCUGUUAGAAAUUUUCUGACCAACACUAUUUGUCUGAAUUCCCAGGAAUGCUGCUUGCUCUUCAGAAUGGAAAAAUGUUCUAUUUUUGGCCAUGACAACUUUUCUGGGAAAAAAAAAAUAUAUUAAACAAAGCAUGGCAAGGGUUCAUGUGUGUAGGUCUUCAUGAUGUGUAAUGGGAACGGGGAGAGGCUUAGCAAAUAAACUUCAGACAGAUACAUGAGGAAGCUAUUAAUGCUCUUCUUGCAACUGAAGGCUAAGAAAAUGCAUCAUUAAGUGGAUUAUCUGGAGACCCUGGUGUGUUGGAAUGGAGGCAGACUUGGGUAUAUGUGAAAAUAUCUCUUUGACCAAAAAAGAUCAAAACAAAUGGAUAAAUAAACAUAGAAGCAUAUGUCUCAAGAAUGAGAGAGGGAGCAAUGGUGGAUCAAAAAAAAAGCAUCAUUCAGGAGCUUUGGGAAGCCUUGGAUGAGCAAAGGGCUGACAAUGUGGCAAAUACCCAAAAGAGCUGUUUGGAGCUGGCAGCUCAAGUCUCCAGCCAUCAGUUUGGUUCCUGGUGGAGACAUCAGCUGGCAGUGAGGCUUCUCAUGCCUUCCCAUCCAGCCUGUGGGAAGAGGUGAUCUUUUCUGAGGAUGAUGCAGAAGGAUGCUGCCUUCUUCUAUAAAGAGCAACAAUUUGUUCUUAGGGACUGGCUGUGGUUACUUCUAUGUGUGAUGUUCUUUGGGUGAAGAGCUGUUUUUUAGCAUUCAAACAGAACCCCUAGCCUACAAACCAUGGCCAUGACCUCUUGCUGCAUGACUUGCUGCAUCACCUUUCACUUCCAAGAAGAGCUUGACUGCAUCCACCGCUGCCCAUGUUGUGACUGAGAACUGUUCCUCACCCUCCUGCAGCCCAGCUUCCUUUCAUCUUCUCUCGGGCUGGUUGCUCCAGGCCUUCACACAGGCCCUUACCAAGGUCUUCACAUCCCUCUUGAACAGGGGAAUGUAUCUGGAAAGAUCAUCCAGAUGUGACAUCAAAAGUGGUGAACCAGUAUGUACAUAAAUUUUAGCCCUGGACAGUAGAUUGCGCACUGUCGGCAGUGUGAACUAUUUCAGAUUGAUCAAAAAUCUAGGUGUGGGUGAGUGUAUUUCAAACCCAAAAUUGCAUGUGCAUUUACACAGCUUUAGCCUUUUUGGGUGAACUGGAGUUAGACACCUAGACAAUUUUAGUCAGAAGGGUCAAGCUGGCUAAUCUGCUUCUAGGUGAUGGUUUGGAGGGAGAUGAGAUUGACUCCACUUUUUGCUGUCAAAGGUGAUGCUAUGUGCUAGAAAUGUUUCGUGGAUAUAGCCUUUUUGCCUCCUUUAUAAAUGAAAACAUCAACUGGGGAUUCUUAAUUGUGUUUGGAGUCUGAGAUGAAUGACCCCCAAACUGCUUUCCUUUAGCAACCGCUCUACAAAAAUUCUGGUUUGAGAUCUCUCUGAAACACUUUGAAGUAGUGCUAGAGCAGGAAGUUAAUUAGAGCUGCUUUGAUAUCUUACAGCAUGUUUUAACAGCUGCUUCAGAGGCAGCUCAAACAGCAAGAGCUAACGUGGUUUAGUGCAUGUUCCUGAAAGUCUGCGCUGCCUCCACCAAAAUGUCUCUGUGUGCCACUGCUGGGGCUGGUUGUUUUCUUUCCUAAGAGUUUGCGUGCAUGGGGACUUGGGAAAACAAAAUAGCCAAACCUCACUGUUCUGCUGCUUUUUGUCUUUUUUAAGUAAUAAUAAUAAUAAUAAAAAAAAAUUAAUGCUGUGGUGCAGCAGCCAUGUUAGAAAAUCUCCCCGUUUCUCAUGUCUGUUUUCAGUUGUCAUUUUCUCAAGCUCUCCAACAAGCUAACAUUUUCCAUGGCUUGUUUGCAGUUAAAUUACUUCCCUGGAUAUUUUUAAAAUAAAAUCAUGGCAGUGAAGAAGCAUGAGCUGUCUCUGCUUGGCGGAGAACAUUUAUAUAGGCCAGAAGCAAAGAUUUGCCCCUGCUGAUCUGCUCACUUUGAGGAAGGCUCUCAUGUUUGCCUUACUGUGAUGAUCAGUGGUUGGAUGUGGGCAAUGUGCACAGAAAAAAAAAAAGACUCUCAUCUAUUGAAGGUUUUCCUUCUUGUAACUGUAACUUUUAUCCUUCUUUCUUGUUUUUUUGUUUUGUUUUGGGUUGGGUUGGGUUGGGUUUUUUUGAUUGAUCCUUAAACUAUUCACAGCUUUUGUGCUUGUCAGGUCUUUGAUUGAAAGACUGAAGCUCUGGUUUGCACACUACACCUCAUGUCCUACUCUUAGUCCUAUUUGUAACCCUUGAAGCCUGGCUUUACAUCAUUCAGGAAGGAAGAAAUCAAGAAAACAUGUUGUUUGAUGUGCAUGUACAAAUCACUGUAUUACCUCACUAUCGUGCUUCUUUCCCUCAAACGGUUUCAAGGUGCAAAAAGCAUAUAGGUUUGCAUAUUAGGGAAGCAUAUUAGGGAACAAGUAUUGGGUCAGCCAUUCUGCUCUGCAACACAGCUUUUCGUUAUGACUGCCUUGUUCUGGGUAGUGUGACAGUCUCUGUUGUAAACAUAAUGGAAAGGGCUGCAGCUUUUCCUAGAACAGCAAUUGCUCAGACUUAGCAUUCUGUGCUGGUGUGAGAGUUCACACUAGGCCCAGCCUUGACAACACUUAAGCAGUGCUGUCAUCUGUGCUUCCCUUGGUUGUAUUCUGCCUGCCUUGGGUUCAUCUUAAGCAAGGUCUUUGUCUGGCUACAGUGUAAAAAGUAGAAUAAAAAUUGCUGAUUGUGGAGAGACAAGUGAUGUCUUUAUGAAAAAAAAAAAAAGUAGGAAAAAAAACAAACAAAAGGCUGGUGAGAGGUUGUGUAGGGAGUUGUCUGACUUACGUACUUGCAACUUGGAUCUCAUAGCUUAAUGCAUAUAUACCUAAAAUGGGCAAAAAGUGCUUAUAUUGGCCACAGAAUAGGACUGUAAGCAACGACUGGCUUGGUCACAGGAGUGGGGAGAUAUCCGGGCUUUUGCAUUGCCCUUUGCUCCUCCCUAUUUGGCUUUGCAUGAGCUUUUAGGGAAAAAAGUCCAGCAGGGGCUGAGCUGUAAACACAGUCAGCCACAACUGCAAAUCUGUGGUGCUCUGCUGAAGGUCCUCAGACUGGACCAAUUCACAGCAGCAGGAGGAUCAAGCUUUCCAAAUCUGUGAUAGGACUGAAGCCUGCAUCCAGCCCUGUGGAGGAUGAGCCAUCUCCACUUUUUUUUUUAUCUCUGAAGAUGUCCUGGGGCAGAGCUGGAGGCCAAGGCCCACCGGAGCCUGCUCGCAUCACCAUGCCUGCUGAGCAGGAGACCGGGCCGCGCUGCUCCCGCUAACCCCUGGCCACAGGCCCACUGGCUUCUGCGAUGGCCUCAGCAACAUCUGCUUCAUCCAUUAGCAUAGCACUCCUCUCCUGGCCUCCGGCCUGAGCCUUUGCUGCCAUUGAUUAGCAGCAAUUUCCUUCCCAAACCCGAAUGUUCGCCGGACGCCAGAUUGGAUUGCAGUCUGCCUGCCGUUGCAAAGCCACAGUGUGGGUGUGCAUGCACAGGAGUAUAAAUAGCACUGACUUGUUGCCCUCUGAGACGUUUCAGGAACUCUUCUGCUCUCGCUGAAGUUCGGAUUGCCUUCAGAUAUCUUCCCUUUGAGCUCAUGAGUAUAAACUUAUUUCGUGCCUCACCAGCUUUGACUCCUAAACCACGUUCUCGUGUUUGCAUGUUUCUCUCGUUCAACUUCAGCAGUUACAGCACCAGGUACCUUUUAGCAUCUCUGUUUGCUCCCCCAUCACCAUCUCAUCAUUUUGCAAAGCCCCUUGGAAAGUCUCCCUGCCUGGUUGCUGGAUGCAGACCUCAGUUAUUCCUAAAGCCAAAAAUACUGCACCUAAUUUAAAGCAAGCUGAAGCCAGGGCAUGGGGCUGCUGUUCAUUACGUUUUGCAGAUGAAGUGCUUGUGGGCCAUCUAUUUGGUUAGAAACUAAAUCUGUGAUUAGAAACCAAACAGAUGAUUUGAUAAGCCUUUGAGGAAGAGUGUGCUACAAUUCGAUGCUGUCCAACACAGGGCUAUACUCAGAGAUAAUCACUCUGCUUCACUCUGAGGUGAAAAUUGAAGCUUUUCUUGUGAGAGUCAAUAGCGACUACUACAAGCUAAGUUGCUGUGAGUGAGCCCAGCCAACAUAUUACAGGGUAUGGAAGGGGCAAAAACAUGAAAUAUUUUGUAUCUGAUCACCUGGUGAAAGUUACCACUCCUGCAUCUGCAAUAUUUGUACUUACUAUUUAUUAAUAUUACUAAUUAUUAAUUUUAUUUAUCAUGCUCUUUGUGUUUCGCAGGAAACGUCACUGGUUUCUCCUGCACUGGAAAGCUAAUGCCUGUGUUACUGUUUAUGAAAAGCUUAUUGUCUUCUUGGAAAGAAAGGGAAGUUUUAAAAUGCUUUCUUAAGCAAAUGAUCUCUUGCACCCUUAAAAAAUUUUCUCACCCAGUGACCCAGAUCUGUGAUCCUUUAAAGCUCUAGAAAACCAAUCAUAUUAAAAACCUUUUCUUUUUUUAAUUAGAAGAUUGCUAACUAUUUCCUGUAUCAUUAAGCCAAUGCCAAACCUCUUCACCAUUAAGGCUAUAUCCACUCUGUAUGGCCAGGCUGUGGUAUUUGGGACAAUUUCCAGAAAAACAAAUGGACAAACCUGGACGAGCUCUUCUCCAGCUUGGUUUCUCCUUUGCAGGUUAUCUGACUUAAUCAAUUUUCCUAUCCAGCCCCAAGAUGAAGAACAGUGACAUGAAACUGCAUCUGAGGCUGCAGUGCAGUGGCCCAAGCUGCCUCCGUUGUGUCAUUUCCUCCUCUUCUCCUGGUUGUCAGGAUUUGCAGUAGUGUUUCCAAAGGAGGUGACUCAGAAGCCGUACCUCCAUUUAGCAGCGCAUCAUGACAUGGAAGUGAACCAAAGCACUUAAGAACAUGAAGAAGAAGUGUAUAGCAAAGGAGGGAGGAUGGGGCUUAGGAUUGGAAAAUAAUUUGGGUCAGAAGAGCUGUCUGGAGGCCUCUAGUCCAGCCUUUGCUUGAUACCAGGCCACCUGUGAAGCUGUAUCAUACCAAUGCCACUACGUUCUGCCUGCUAAUUGAAGUUGGGUGGGAUGGCUCUUCUGGUAGAUUACAAUGCUGAUUUUGAAGACCUGCUUAGAUAGGCCUGUGACCUCCAGGAUCAUUCUGAUUACAAAUGUGUCCACCACAAAGCUGCAGAAAGCUUGUGAUGAGGAAGGGAAAAAUGUUCUUGCAUGUCAAUGUCCUUCCAGGAAAAAAAAUGGAAACUGUAGUGUUUGGCUCACACAAGAGAGCAAACACAACAUCUCCCUGAGUGUCUAAAUUGCCAUCUGCAAUAGAGAGACAGGGUAAAGCUUGUUUACCAUGGCAGGCUUGAGGGUGAUGCAAUCUGUCAGAAUUAUAAAAUAUUCUUGGAACUGCUAAAUAUUAUAGAUGCUAAUUCCACUUCAGAAAGUAUCCUGGAGCAGAUGAAAUCUACUGAACAUCAACUUGACACAAAGUGAAAUGGCAUCAAUGUAGGAAUUAGCUCCUGCUUGGUCUCAGUUUCCUGGGACUUGCUCAAGGAUGAUUUACCAGUUGCUCCUAACUCUGUAAUCCAGUAAGGAAGGCUGCGCUGGUGAAAAAGACAAGUUGACAUAGAAGGGAAGUAAAACCCACUACUUAAAGCACAUGAAGCCUCACAACAGUCUGCAAGAGAUGGAAAUAGCAAAUGGAGAGCCAUGGAUGUGAAUGAGAUGUUAGAAGUUGUUAAUAACAAGGAAGCUAAAGGAAACAACAAGAAAUUUUUGGCCAGUGGCAUUAAAAACUGAAGAUAAAAGCCACCGUCCCCCCUGCUGCUUUCAGUCCUCCAUUGUCACCAUCUGAAAACCUGAGUCUUCAGGUUUGCAGGUGGAAGAGGCCAAGAGAGCUGCUCUCACGGAAGUGACCAUCAUGCUUUAUCCAGCCUACACAAGCCUACAAGUUACAUGAGACCACAUCCUGAAGCAGGCCGAGCCCUCCCAGCUUCAAGCGCUUCCAUAUCACACAGAACACCAUUUCGUUGAGGAAAAACCCUCAACAGCACUUGAAAAGAAAGAAAAAAGAAAAUGACUUUAUUAUUUCCAUUGUGGUGGAAAGCAUUUGGUGUCUUCUUAAGGUGUGAGAGUUUGUGCGUCUGUGGCCAACUGCUCAAGUACUCCGAGCCCUUAUUCCUGCAUAUAAGCUGAUGUCCUGCUUAGAGUGGAGAUUUACAACCUGCUCACCAUGGGGGUUGCAUCAGUAAGACAUGUGUUCUCCUCGUUCUCAUACAUUAGCUUGUUUUGGGAGGGGAAAAUGGCUGCUCCCUUCAAAGAAAUCCCGGCUUUUGCUGAUGCUAUCUGGCAUUUUCACGGUGUCAUCAUUUUGCAACUCAUUUCGUGAUCCAGGGCAAAUGUGCGUCAGGGCAUUGGGGUUUUGGUAUACCACAGACGUCAUCUGCUUCUCAACUGCCGCUAACUUGAGGAAGUUGUCAAAAAUACAAUUGGUUUCUCCUACAGAGGAAAACACAUGGCUUAGAAAGCAGUGGGAGCUGCCUGUUUUCCUUUUUGGGUGAAGAACAGGAAUUUUCAGAAUUUGGUCAGAAAGUGGUUUGGGCUGUGGGAGAAGUUGGACUUUGAUCCCAGGGAAAAUCAACUUUGAGAUAACAAGCUCUACAAAAACUCCCCAUUUAUUUGGUACAUUCAUUUGUUUUCAACUAUGUAUGUGCACAUAAUGUGAAUGUAACUAUAUAUAUAAAAUGUCUUCCAUCCUUUCCUCUUUGUGACCGUAGCAGGAGGAAGGGCCUUUACAGCAGCCACCAAAGGACUAAGACGUGCGACAGAGGGAACAGCGUGUUCUUCCAGAGCAUGAAGCUUGGCUCUGGUGCUCACUUCAGGUGGUUAUAUGCGUGGCAUAGAUGCCACGAAUGACUCACAGAUGACUGCAGUACUUAAAAUUUCCUACAAGGGGUUGAUCUGAGGUGAACAGAUAGAGGAAGGAGACAUUAUACGUAGCUCUGUGGACUGGUUCUUCAAGGGUGAUGCAGAAGUCAUUUGCAUGUGAAGUUCUCCCUCUGGCAAAGCUUAGUUUUACAGCAAAAUAUUCUCAGGAAUUCUGUUAUAUUGUGAAAGCCAGAUGAGGGAGGCUGCCUGAAAGCAAUACAAGAUGGCCAGUGUAUCUGGCAAACUAGAAACUUCCUGAUGUAUGUGUGAACAUGACCAAAUACUAUCUAAUGUGCCAAACUGCUCUGAAAGCACAUUUGAAUCAGAAUUAAGUUCAUGCAUCUGGGCCAUCCUGCAGCUGCUUCUACAGGAACGUGUUUGGGUCUAUAGUAGCCUUACUUUCAAGCUUGACCUGUCUUCUGUUGCUUGUAUCUCUUUUGGAGAACUAGAAGACCUUCAAAAGAAACAGCUGUGGUUCUUAUAGUCAUCAGUAGUACUUCCAGCUUGUUUCAGAGAUGCAGCUUGCCCAUUCUCUUUCCGUGCUGCAAUUUGAAAGGUUGAAUGGACUCAAGACAUGCCAAAAUGAUGCACAUUUGGUAUCACUAAAAUUUUCAGCACUUACUGCUUGUCACCAUAAGCAGAGUUGUAACCACACAGGUGCUGCAUCAGAAGAGAGAAAAGCUGGAGCCAAUACUAGUGGAAUCAUUUGACCUGACCUCAAUGGCAAGGGGCAGCCCCAUGAUGUGAAGGCUGGAAGUUCCUGUGUCCAAGGGCAAAAGCUUUGGAAAACUCAGAGGGUAAAGUAGCCAUGCGUUUCUCGAGAUCUACAUUCACUUCUACUUUUAGUGGCUUGGACCAAACCUUAAUGUAAGCAACUGCUUUGGCAUGUUGCACUAAAAUUUUAUCUGGAUGGUGUCGCAAUGUCCUUUGAGCUGUGGGAGAAGACAGUGCUUGAAAUAUGCAUGUUUGAGCAAGUUCAACGCAGCUUGCUUUUGCUGGAGCCUGACUUUCUUUCCUGGACAAAGCCAGAGAUUUGUGGAGUCUAAUAAUGUGUCAGCAAACCAACUUGGCAUAUAGAAAUGAGAAGGGCGAGUCCCUGUUCCAGUUGCAUAAAAAUGUCAGUGUGUGUGGGGAGUAGAUGAAGGUAAAAUUAAGGCCUAGUUUAUUUUCUUUCCUUUAAAGUGUAUUGUGUUUCUUGCUGAUGAGAAUGAUUUCAUAAUUACAAGCAUAUGGUGAAAAUGUCUGGGUAUCGGUAGAGAGUUGAGAUCUGAACUCAGGUCUGGUCUAGACUAUAUUCCUGUGGUCGUACAGUAGGUAAAUCUUGUGGCACAAUUUCUUGACUUUUUAACACGAGAAGCACUGCCAGCAUGUGAUGACCCAGAUAGACCAUUGGUGAUCUCAGAGAACAUGGUCUAUUUGCUUUCUAGUUUUGCCGACAUGCUUGGGGUCAGCAUUUUGAGCCAUACCCCGUAGGCAUGUCCUAGACAUUUUCUUCUGACACCAAGGAGAAUUGAUGUAACUACUGGUUUUCAGGAAUGCAAGCUUUAAAACAAAUAAUCAGAAGUUAAAAAACUUGUUGUAAAACUGACAGUUCAUGUUUUACUUGUUAACGUUGUUCCAAAUGUAAAAUUGGAGUGUGCUUUAAAAUUGUUACAGUGCAGUUCCCCAUGAGGCAAAAUGCCUUCAGUCUGCUGGGAAUGACAAACAAUAAUGGCAGAAGGAAAGUCAACAGGGCUAAAAUUAAAAUACUUGUGUUUAUAAUUGCUUUUACCAAGUUCCUGGAAGGCCCCUGUUUCAGAUGCAGGAUCCUGUAGGGUUAGGUGAAAUAGAACAGAGCAUAAUCCCAGUCCCAGAAGGUUUUGAGCUAUGCAGGUCUCUUCCACUGACCAGACUUCCACUGACACACUUGGAGACCAUGUUACAGACAUAUCAUUUCUAAUUGAAAAAAAUAAUUUAUAGAUUUUUUUUUCAACAGCAAAUUAUAUUUCUUCCAUCUUGUUAAUGACUGUUGGAUGGACAAUGCAGAAGGAUCCCUUUUGCAGGACAAAAAGGCUACAAAAAUAAUAGAAAUGAACGUCUGCAGCUGAAGAGUUUGGCUGGGACUUGAAAAGUUUGCUUUGGGUACGAGCCAGGUCCUGCUGAGGUCUGCAGGAAUUUUGCUCUUGGCCUCAGUGGGACCAAGCUUUCACCCUUGGAGGCCAUGUCCUGAGGAAGAAUUUAGUCUGAAAUAGUUUUCAAAACUUGUAUUGUUUGACUCACAACCAAGCAUUUUGUUGAGACCGAGUGGCUUUGUAUUUCUGAUUGACUCAUGUUGCUCAUCUUAGCAUCCUGCAGCAGUGAUCUCUCAAGGAAAUCCAAGUGUGAGAGAGGAUUGCAUGUAAGGUUCCUAAACCAAAAGCUUCUUGCAGGUCUUCCCAGGUGUCUGCUUAAGCUGUAUAUUUUUGGGAGGAGAUGUGCCUUGGAGCCCCAGCACAUCAGCACACUGCACUGAAGCUAUGGCUGUGACCUGUGGCAUGACUGGGAUAUGCCCAUCCAGACCCUGGUCAUCUUUGAUAGACCCAUCCCUCCAUUCUGCAUAUGAUUCUGUGAUUCAUGGUGAAACAAAUAUUUGAAGGAAGAACAGAGAACUAGUAAAGUGUUUUGAUUUAUACCUCACAUGUAUGCCCUUCCUUAUUACCCCCUUGGUCAUUUUUCCUGUAGACCUCAGAGACCACAUUGAAAAUAACCACUAUCAAAGUGAGGUUUGUGCCAUUCUUCUUCUUCUUCUGAUUAGAGCUAGGAUAACACAUUCAAAUAAUAAGUCUGAAGCUGGGCAUGGGUGGGACAACACUACUGUACUCUUAACACUGCAUGUUCUAGGCAGAUUUAACAUGCAGGUCUUGCAUUGUUGGACUGCACAAGUGUAGUAAUGUUGGAUUUUACUGCUCUAUAUCAACUUGUGAUGAAACGUGGUGACAUCAGCGGAGACAAAGGCCCAUUUCGUAUAAAGCUUGCAGAAACACCAAGUGCUUGUUUGGCCAUUCAGAACACGGAGCUGGGGAAAACAACUUGCUCAGUUCACAGCCCUGAAUCCUCUGGAGAUGCGUGGCUGGGUUAUUUCCUUGAUAUUCUGUGAUAUUAUGACCUGUUCUAAUAGCACAGGAUCAUAGAACUGUAGGAGUUGGAAGGGAGGAUUAUUGAGUUCCAGCCCCUGCUAAAGCAGAUUCCAUACAGGAGGUUGCACAGAACAGUAUCCAGACCCAAAGAAGGAGACUCCACAACCUCUGUGGUCAGCCUGUCACAUUUAAGCAGUUUAUAGUUAUCAUGAUUUAAGAUUUUCCUCCCAAAGUCAAUUGGUUUCACAGUAGACCCCAACAAAUCAGUAUUUUUGUUUUGCUGAAAUGGAGUGUGAUAUCAUUUUAAUGGCUCCUUUCUGAAAACCUUGAAAGCUGCUUAAGAAACAGAUUCACAGUGUAUGGGCUCGAAAACUAUCCCAUUCUGGUGCACUUGAAGUUGUCGAGCACAGAGUGCAUAAUUUAGAAUUGAAAAGAAAAAGAUGUAUCUGUGAAUUAAGGACUGCAAUACAGGAGCUAUCAACCACCAAGAGGCUCUUUUAACCUCAGCAGAGCUGUGCUCUUUAAUGUGUUUUUGUGGGGAAGAAGAAUAAAAAGGAAAUCUGAGAAAACUGAUCUUUAUUUUUAGAAAAAUAAUUUCUUUUUGCUAAGGAGGACUUUUUAUUUUCUGUGCUCUAAAUAAAGCAGUGAUAUGGUCCUGUUGUGCCUCAGGCUAUCCGCUUAAAAGAAAAGGCUCCAAAGAUGGACCAUCUGGAAGCCUGUGCAAGAGCACGCCAGUGCUGUUUGAUGUGGAAGAGCAUCCUUUGGAUGUAUUUUUGCACACUGCUCAAUCCGCUGAAGUUUUUUUUGUGUGUGUUGAGCUGAUGGGAACAUCUCAGAGGAUUUUGCUUCAUGUGUUAAUGCUGCUUGCUUCUUUUUUCAUUAAAUGAAAGCUGGGAAGCAGUGUUUCUCUCUAGAAGCACUUUCGAGAUCUGCAGGUGAUCACAACGCAAAGGGAGUCAGUUGCACAUUCUUGGCCAGAUCUGCUCUUUCCAGGGCACAACAAGAACUUCCUCCUCUUCCCAUUUUUUUCUGGGAUGCCUGGGAUCUCCUUGGUUCCUGCGAGGCCAAAAAAGUUCUCUGUUUUGUUGUUGUGGUGGUGUUUUUUUGUUCAGGACUUUGCCUGAUGUACUUUGUUUCAGUGCUGCAUCUGAGAUGAGGAGAAAUUCACCCCUGGUUCUGGGAUAAGGGGUUCACCCCCACCCCAUGCAGUGUUUCUCUGAGCUUAUGUUCUCAGAUGUUCAAGUCCCAUCCCUGCACAUACCGGUGCCCUUUUGGCUCAACCUGCACAUCUGACAGCCUAUGCACUUUGCCCUCCCAUUAAGAGGCUACUCGUGUAAGGAAUUAGGGUCUUGUAGUUACAAGCUUUUGCAGGGAAACAAAACCACUCUUUUCUUUAGAUGAAUGUUGGACAACUCUUUUUUGUUUGUUUGUUUUGAUGGAAACUUGUGAAAUAAGCAAGAUCAACUCCACCUCCUAAAAUGAGCUCUCAGUGUUUCGUGCCGCCUCCAAGAGAUUACUUUUUAUUUUGGGGGGGGAGGGUCAGGGAUGUGGGCCAAAGUGGGACGUUUGCAAGCUGGUGAAUCUUCUGAAAAGGACAAGUGUAGGCACUUUGUCUCCUCUCAGCAUGGCCAGCGUGGAAAGCAGUGAAGGACUAAAGGACAUCGCAGUGUCGUGGACAUUCGUGCCACUAACUGCUGUUGCUUUCACCAGCCAUAUGUACAGCUGCGUUCUUUUUAUAGUGCUGCAUAUGGCACUAUCGUAAUUGAAUUUUUCUUAAUAAUUGAUCUGACCUGUAUCAUUCUGUUCAUUUUAGGAGAGCUAAUUCAAGCAGAUUGAGAUUAGGACUAAAAAUAUGGUUUGGUUAGCGGAGGAACCAUAAAGAGCGCGACUUCACAGUAAUGAUGACACACAAUCUGUUUUACCCAGAUAGGCUCAUACUAUUUAUAUGUAGCACACUGUCAAGGCUGGUGCCUUGUCUGCCUUCCAGUAGCUGCGAUACAUGGGGUAGUGGCAGUCCUGUGCUGAAGAGCACUCUAAUUCCAUGUUUUGGGACCUUCCCACCUUAUCACUUCCUCUGGCAAGGCUGUGGGGUCCAAGAUUGCAGCUGAUGGCCCUGUCUCUGUUGUAGUAACUCUCCAACUUGCCCAUCCAUGUGAGGAAUUGGAUCUGCACUGUCCCAGCCCUGGGCAGGGGAAACGCGAGUCUCUAGCAUGGUGAGCUUAGCUUCUCACAGCAAGCUAUGGAAAUAGCAAUGAAAUUGGAAUAGGUGAGCUGGAUCCUGCCUCAUGUUUAGAAAUGAAAACCCUAGGGUAGUCUCUGAAUUGCCCUUUGCUGAAAAGGAUUUUGGCUGUUUGGUUCAGACUCCCGAAUGUAGGAACGGCGGAGGUGGGACUGCAGACAACUAAGAAAGUUAGAAACGGCCCAUACGAUUAGGAUGCUGCAAAACGAGUGGCAGCUCUUUCUCUCCCAGAGCUCUCAGCUGCAGCUGAGUAUCUGGACCAGACGUUAUUUUUGGCAAGAGGAAAAAAUAAAUCUCCCUUGAUACUGUGCAAAAAAAAAAAUGAAAGUAAAUGUUGAGACAUACACGAGGGCAAGGAUCUCCUCUGUUGUGUGGCAGCAGUGCUUUUAGAACUGAAAUCCACUUGCUUUGAUCACUGAUUAAAAAAAAUGGACAUAAAAGGGAUUUAUUGUGAAAUAAUGGAUUUGAUCCCCAGUAAUCCUUUCUUUGGGAUUAGACUUGGAAUAUUAUUUUUGUGAUCUGUGGAAUUAGACCAUGCUGGCAUGACAGACCAAAGCACGUGAGUUUAACUGCAGGAUGAGGCUGAGCUGCAAACAGAGUGAAUUACUUGCACAGAACAAAGCAGCUGAUAAAUCUACAGCUCUGUAUUUAAUGACGCAAGAUCCACAUGCAAGCAUAGAAACAGAAAAAAAAAAUCCUAAACUGAAGGCAGGAAAGACCCCUUCUUCCCAGCUGACACUGCAGAGAAACACUGUGAUCACAGAAUCAUUGAAUCAUAGAAUGGCUUGGGUUGGAAGGGACCUCAAGGAUCACCGAACUCCAACCCCUGUACCAUAGGCGAGGUUGCCAACUGCGUGAUCUCUGUGGACUGCUGGCUAGAGCUUCUGGUUUGAGUAUUUUCUGCCACAAGAACUACAAUUUGUAGCUGCUCCCAAUGGAAUGACUGAGGGACUUAGAAUGUCGGUGCAAACUCGGUGCAGGUCUUCAUGUAUGGCCACAAAACUUCCCAGUGAGAUUUGGCAAGCCCCAGGCUCGCUGCCCAAACAGUGCCUGCGUGCACAGCUCCUUGGUCUCCCAGCACACUGCUGAUUUGGCCUGAUGUGUGCUGAGAAGUCCUCCUGAGUGGUUCGUUAUGGGUAUAUUAUAACAAAAUAGGUACAAAAUGUGCUAUGAAUCCCUGGUAUGUAACUUUGAAGUCCCAAACCUUUCACAAAAAGCAACUGCAAGGAACUCCUCUCACUUCUCCUGCCAGAUUUUGACUCUGAACUCAAAGUGGGGCUGGAGAUGGCUUUUAAAACAGAGGGAGAGUUCCUUUGUGUUGUGCUCUGAAUCAGCUGAUCUUCAAAACAAAACAAAACAAAACACAAAAGCUGUGGGACAGAGAGCAAGCGAAGGAAAGGUAAAAUAUCCCCUGCCAGACCCAUUCCUGCUUUCGCUGCUGGACUCACAGCCACACUUCUGUUUGCAAAGGUCACUCCUGCAGCAGGACAUGGCCCAGGCUCCUGCCUUGCACAGCCGUGGGAGCUGCUGGGCACAUCAGCACCCCUAAGCAUAACCCAGGUCUGCUUCUAGUAGGCUUGCUAUUUCAGUCCUUUGAGGACUCUGCUUUUUCCUCAGGGCUUGCUAACCCACAAAGCUGCCUGCUCUGCCUUGAGAGCUGCUGGUGCAGGACUGCUGCUCCGGCUUGGGACAUUCAUAGAGCACUGGGAUUCCCAUUAAAUCUUCUGCUACUAGCAUAGGUUUCCCUAUAAAAAAAAACUGCAGUACAUCUUGAAACUGGGCAAGCCACACCAUGCAAACUCUUGGGAAGAAGCUGGUUACAACAGCCCAUGUUCCAAGUCUCAUGAUUCCUUCGUAGGAUAAAAACGUGUUAAUUAUCUCCAUUUUUUGAUUUAGAGGGAGGGAGUUGCUUUUCCUCACAGCAAUGUAUAUCGAAGGGUUACAAGUGGUGCACGAGGAGUUUGUAAUAAAUCCUGCUUGGCGGUUAUUCAGAAGGUUUCCUUGAGUACACUGUGUCUGAUUAUUGCAGCUGACAGCUCUGUACACGGCGUACAGCAGACAUCACCUGGCACAGCACCACUGUACGCCACCUGGCAAAACUGGGGCAAAACUCAGAGGCAGCCAUGAGAGUUUUCUGCCACAAUUUGUGCUGAAUAUUCCCUCACCCUACCCCAUUCCCUGAUCCUUACUCCCUACCUCACGCACAUGCUCUUGGAUGAAGUGCACCCAAUUUUUGCGCACAGUGCAAAUCUGGUAGGAGCGGCUGACAUCAGCUGUGUCAGUCCAGAGGGACCUCGAGAAAUGUGGAGAUUCAGCCAACAGAAACUUCCUGAAGUUCAGCAGUGAGACGUGCAAUGUCCUUCAUGGGGAGCAGGAAAUCCUCAUGCAUAGAUCCAGGCUGAAAGCAGCCGGCUGAGAGGCCUCAGUGGAAGGGGCGCAGGGUACGCAGUGGGUGCUGAGUUCAAUGUGAGCCAACGUGUGCUGUCACAUGCAGAACAUCCCAUCUGGGGCUACUUGGGAGCAGCAGAGACCAGAGGAAUUUGUCAUCUCCUCUACUCAGGUCACAGCUGGAUACCUACAGGUGUGCAGCACCACAGAGGACAUGAUGGUGUUUGGAGUAGAUCUGUGGAGCAUUCUGCCACGAGGCACCAAAGGUGCAAAGCUUCCUUGGGCUCAAAGGGAUUUGGAAUGAAACCACUGAAGACAGAUCUUCUGGGAAUACAUCCUUGGGAAAAUACAUGCAUUCAAAUUCAUGCUGAUACACCCUCUAAUUGGGUGAUAGGCUUGAGCUGCAAAUUGCCUGUUAGAGCUUUCUGGGGUGGGAGAUCUACAGGUUUGUUCUUCAGUAAUAAGUGCACAUUAGUAGCCCCUGCUGAAGGCAUGAUAUGGAUGCAGGUUUGAUCUGUAGAAAUUUCCUUUCUCUUCAGCAUCUUCCUGGGAAGCUCUACUUCAGUGACGAGGGUGGAAGAUGUAUGGAAACCUGCAAGUUUGGAGAAAACUCAAUUGGAAGUGAAGGCUUUGGAUAGUUCACAGGAAAAAAUGGGAUAGAGUUUUGCCCUGUGCCCUGAGUUCACACUCAGCAGGACUGUGAAAAUAUAGCUGCUUUGGAAAUCCCUCACCUUGGAGUCUCUCCAAAGAGAGGACUCUAACUUGGUGGCUAUGGCUGUGUCACCCUUCUGUCUGUGUCCUUGAGCUGGCUUUGGUGCUUAUUCUCUCUGCAAGCUGAGAUAGGAAGUGAAGCUCCAAGAUGAUAGCCCCAGGAGCAGGCAAAGCAGGGAAACCUUCUUUAGAGGGAUGAUGUUCCAUACAGAAACACACAGCUCUCUUCCGGGUGAUCUUAUCUUGCUUUCACAGUCAUUUCAGAUGUUUUGGGAGCAGUUGAGCAAGACAUGGUCAUGGGAUGCUGGAUACAGUACAUCUAUUGGAGGGGUUGAUCUACACAUAGAGAUGAUUUUUCUUUUUCCCAAAAUGGACCCGUUGUUCUACAAAAUUUGCUUCCUAAACUUAGCAGGAGAGCACCAAUGCCCUUUGAAUUAGUGUGGUUGGAGGAAAGUGUCUAGGAGAAGUCUCAGAUUGGCUGCAAUCAGCAAGAGAAGCGCAUGAUGAUUUUACUGGGAAGUCUCCAUUAUUGCAGUCUUGCUGUGCAGAUCUUUCAGCUGUGAAAAUACAAGAAUUUGCUUUGGAGAUGUGAGCCAUAACUCUGCAAGAUGAUCUUGUGACCAGAGGUGGGAGAACCAGUAGCAGGGAAUUCUGUCUGCAGGUCUUGGAUGGAGGUCACAGAGGAGGAGCACUGGUUGCUUCCACGCCCAUCAACCCUCUUUUUUAGUGGUGAAUGAUAGUUCUCAGAGAUAACAGCUUAUUUAUUUAGUGAAUUCUUGUUUUUGAAAAAAGCGAAGUAAUGGGAGGAGGAAGCAAACCACAAAUACUUCCUUUCAAAUGUCUGUGUUAUCAAAUAUUUGGAAGUUUGGAGUCUGAUAGUAAGGUCUGAAUCCAUAUUCUUCUAUUAGCAACCACAGCUUGACAAAUGAAUCCACAUGCAAGGCAUUCUGUAGCUUGGCAGUGUGGUCAAACUCCUCUUCUGCACUAGCUUUUUUCAACCCUUAUUUCAUUUCUAGAAUUAAACUCUGAUCCAAAAAUGCCUAUUAACAGAGUACUGAUGCUUGAGAAUGCUGAUAGUGUUGAUGAGUUGGUGGCAUACCUGCAUUAGGGAUCUGUGCCAAAUGUAAGUUGCAUCUGUAAUAACAGUUUUGCAGCUCGUGGUUUGGGAUGUCUGGAAUAAAGACCACACAACAUCUGUUUGCUUCCAAGGAAGUGACUCUUCAUAGGCAAUAAAAACACACCUUUGCCUUGAAUUCAAGCAGUACUAAUAGAGGAAACAGUCGUCUGCUGGGGAGGCUGUGAAUUUUGGUGGUGAACUUCCAGCUUGCCAGCCUGGCAUCCCACUUUUCUGGCACAGCUCAUCAUAAACUUGUUUUCCUAGGGAUUUCCACACUAUCAUGACCUUUGCAUGAAGCCAAAGGACACCACAAUUAGAGAUUCUGGUGUUUGCCGAUCAUGGUAUGCUUUUUUUUUUUUUUGAGCAUGUUUUCUGAAUACCUGUGCAUGUCAUUUUUGAGUGGCUGGGAAGAGGGUAGCCAAGGUCAAGAGGCAAAGCAAACGUCCCUAUGCUAAAGCCCCUUAGCCCACUGGUGUGCACAGUUCUUCCCUGUGUGUAGAACAUAGAGAGGAAGCUCUCUUUUGUACUUCAUACAGAAUAUCCAGCCACUGACAGCGUGCACAGGUGGAAUUCUCCAAGUUCCCUUUAGAAGCCAGGUUUCUCAUUGCAAGCAUGCCUAAGAAUGAGCAUGUGGAAUACCUGAGAAAAAUGGGGAAGACCCUAGGUAUGAAUGAUGCAAAUAUAAAAGACCAUAGAAACUAUAGAAACUAUAGAAAAUCAAAAUCUUGAAAAACACACUCUAUUGUUGAGAAAAGCUCUGCAAAGAGAUCUCUGUCUCAAUGAUAGUGUUUUCCUGAAACCUAAGGGCAUUUCUCCUGCUUUGUUUCAUAGCAUUAUGCUUUAAAAUUAAAAUUAAAAUUAAAAUGCUAUUUAGCUUAGCUUGUCACUGCAUACAGCAAGCUUUGAGCAAGAGAAUUGCAUUUCAGGCCUGUAGUAUAAGAGGCAAACAAGUCUGGAAAUCUGGAUCAUAUAUCCUGCCAUUGCACCUGCUGCUAAUACUUACAAUAGCAGAGGUAAUUAAAUAAAUUCCUUUCUGCCACCUCUGUUUCUGCUCCGCGGGGUCAGUAAAGGACUCAUCUAAUGCAAUAAUACUCAUUUCAUUUUGCUAUCAUUUCCUAACUCCAGGCAGCAAAAGGGCAGCAAAAAAGACAUCAAAAGGACAUCCAUGAGGAGCUGCCCAAGACAUGUGCUUUUGAUUGCUUGUUUUUUCUUGGAAGUAAAGGAGAAUGCCCCUUUCCAUCAAUGGAGCCAGUGUUCCCCAGUUGCUGUUUACAGGGUUUUCACCUCAUGCAUGGGGUUGCCUCUGGUUAUACUCAUGCAAAUCUCUCUGUGCCACUUCAGCAACACCCUCUGCACCAGCUGUGAUCAGUGCUCAGGGUGGUAUCUCAGUUGUGCUUUGCUGUUUGCCAGCCAUGCUCAGUGUGGUUAGCUGCACAGAAGCUCAGUGUUCUCUCUAAUUUACCGUUUAUCACAAGAAAGAUUUCAAGUACUUCCAGAUAAUUGUGGUUUCUGCCAGUCUAGGUGGUGUUUCAGCCAAAUGCGUUGCAGAGAAAGACACUGUAUUUUGAAACUUUCUCACUUGUCUUCUCAAUUGCGGUUCUCAGAAACUCCUUUUGAUCACUUCCCUUGCCCUGCCUAACAGAUGUAGUGCUAACUGCUGCGCUUUGUGAGUUGCAAUUGAUUGCUGCUGGACUUGAAGUCUCCUGUUUCUACCCUGAGUUUUUCUCUUUAUUUUUCCUGUAGUCUGCUUAAGCAUAUACUGAUAGAUGCUUCACUUAACUCUGACCAUCUUCUGACUGCUCUACUUUCUUUGUGGCUCCCUGGUGUUCAUCUGUUUUUUUUUUUUUUUCUCAAGUCUUAAGUUGGUCUUGAAAGAGUCGUAUACACACACUUGGCUGACCUGCAGCCACAUUCGCAACCUCUCUGCUGCCCAAGCAGUUAAAAAUAAACUCAACACACCCCAAACACCCAAGAAAGUUGACUGAGUUCUUCUAGGGCCUGUUCUAGCUUAGGAAUUCUUGGUGUAAAAGGAUGCCUUCAAGACACUGGUAUGACCCCUUGGGGCUGUGUUUUUGUUUCCACACCAUGCUCAUUGUGUUUGUAGUUCACAUUUUUUUCCCUUCCUGUAGAGAACAGAGGAGGUGCUGAAUUGUGCUUCAACCAAGCGGUCAUUGACUUCUCUUUUUCUAGAAGCAAUGUACACCGUGUUAUCAGUUCAGGCAGUUGCUUUUGUUUACUAUAGAUUUAGUCCCAAAGAGUUCCCUGGUGAAUAUGUACCUUAUGUGAGAGCCUGAGUCAAUGUUCAAGAGAGAAAGAGACUCUGGAGUGUCUUUGAGCCACUUGCUUUCCAUGACAGAAAUGAGCCAGCUGAGGUUUGUCUCUCUUUGCAUCAAUCAGAUUCUUCUUCCCUUGUUAACUGCAUUUACUGCAUGCUUGUCCUGCCGAACAUCCAACCUGUAGAAGAUUUGGUGGAGAGGUUAGUGGGAAAGAGAUGCUCAACUUGAGAAAGACACAAGAAGACAUUUUCAGUUGGGGAAAAAUGAGAAAAUUUCGCAGAAAUUUCACAAAAUUUUUGUGGUUGGAUGGGACCUCUGUAUAUCAUCUUGUCCUCUGCAUGUUGGCAACAUCCUCUCAUCUUCCAACUGUCUUUUCCCAGUAGGGAUUCCUCCUCCUCCUUUCCAUGUGUGUUUGGUCUUUGAGGCAUGAAGAUUGGAACUUCCUAACUUCCUGUAGUCUAUACAGCCAUGGUCAACUGUCACUGAACACAAGGGAAGACCAGAUAAGCACUCCUGUUCAUCAUCAGGAUGGAUAUUUAUCAUAUAGGUCGGGUAACCACAACAAAUCGAGCAAUCCCUUUGGAGUUCAAUCACGCAUGCAAACCUGAGGAUGUGGGAUUAUGUCUGGAGCUCUUCUCCAAUGUAGUUGUGAUGUCAAACUUGAAGUUAGCUCUCAGUUGCAGGAAAUGGCUGGAUGCCAGAGAUUUUCUAAGAGAACACAAGCUGUCAGAGCUAAACUUUGGGAGCCUUUUUCUUUGUGUAGGAUAGGAUCAUUACUUUGUUACAUCAAUGGAGAAGUGUAGAUGGGAAUAUAUACUUUCAAAAAUGUAUGUGUUCAGACCCCUUAUGGUCACCCCAUUUGCUAAAAUCAACUACCCCUAGCAGAUUUAGCUCUUGCAGGAAUUUCAUAUCUGAAAUCUGGAGAAAGACUUCUUUUGUUUCCAAAGAAACCUCUGUCCUCUGCUUCCCUUUGACUAGAUUUAGGACAUAUAACAUACUAUGAGCUGUAUGCAUUCUUUCCAUUCUUCCAUUUAUUUAUUUAUUUGUAAGAUUGUAAGUCAAAGUGCUGAAUUUCUUAGGGAGAGACUGGAAAGUGGAGAGUGCCUAAUUUCUACCGGUAAACAGAGUACUAGCAUCUGGACAGAGUUACAGCAAGCAAAAAUUUUAUGCAGUGUCUAUGGUUGUGAAGAAUCCCAGUUUCUUGACCAUAUGAGGCAUUCAGAGCUUCAGCAAGAGAGAAAGAAGGCUCAGCUUUUUAUUAAAAGUGACUUUGAUAGAAGAAUAAAAGCAGACCAACAGCCAGAAAUGUGUUGUCAACAUCAACAUCUGCUCUGCUGGCUGUUUUACUAAUGCUGAAAUCCCUCGGCUGUCUGGUGUACAGGUGAAUGCCCUUGUUUUGUCUACAGGACCAUCCCAUGCCCUUUGCUGUUAGAAGUGGACCAUUUGCACAUUUCAGUGUUCCUGAAAUGGAUGUCCUUUGGAUACUUUUUUUCACACUGCUUAUAUGAGCCAGUGAAAUGUUGAAUAUUGUCCCAUUUACAGCUUCCAUGUGCUGACUUGAGGGUGUGUUCAUAACUGAUAGUGUAAAUCCUCAAUCAUCCAUAGCAGAUGAUGGAAAGAACUUCUUCAUUCUCGCCAAUCAUUAGCAUGUCAAACAUUAGUGUGAGAACACACACAACAAUCUCAAGCUUAGUUUCCAUUACACACUGUUUUAGUUUCACAUAGACAAUUUUCUUGCCUAAAUGAAGCAGUAUUCUGCUUAGUGUUGCGUGAUAGACAUGAUUUCUUUCUGUGACCUGCUGACCUUGGAAGCAAGGUCACAGCUUGCUGAUCUAGCAAGCCCUGAUUUUAAUUCUAACCCAUCUCGAUCAUGCACGAUAGUUCUCAAAGAUACCUACGUCAUGACCUCAAUGUUGAUGAUCUGUUUGAUUAAAGAAACAGUUUCCACAUAGAGAAACAGCUACCAGGGAGUUUUCAGCCUUGUUAGAGCAGGAACCAAAUAAACCACAAUAUGCAAACCCCUGCAGGCAACCUGGGGUGUGAUGCAGAGCCUUCAGCCAAUGAAUGUGAGAAUGCAGUGGCAGAACAAUAACAUGAUAGAAGCAAAAAUAUUCAUUUGUAAAUGAUUACCUUCCCCAGGGCUGCCCUGGAAGGAACAUCUACACGCCAAGGGGAUUCUUGACAUUAAAACAAACAUUAAAAGUUGUUUAUUUGCAUGGAGGUAGAGAUUGAACUCCCGUUGUCGAUAUUUAAAUUCUGUGUAUCCAAUUCUGUUUUCAUGCUGUACAGAAAAUCUUAUUGAAAGAACAGAAAACAAACAGAUGUGUGUUGGAGGUAGAAACACUGCUCUGGUGACUUCUGGUGCAGCUGCGCCUUGGAGAUCACCUCAAAGCUUCCCUUGGUGCAUUUCUCUUUGGUGCUCUAAGGCCAGUGUCUGCAGGGCUCUCUGUGGAGUCUCACCAUAGGCCAUUCUUUUACCGCAAAAAGCCCUCCCUGCUGCUUGGUGGGACACCAAAGGCUGGGAGUGAAUGUAUUAUUGGUUUCACGGUUUUCCAUCUGGUUUUGUUGCCUGACUUCGGAGAGGGUUUUGCCCUCAUUCCUGAGGGCUGCCACUGUUUCCAUUUCUCGUGGGUGAUGGACUUCCCAACGUGAUGCAGAUACCUGAUCACUGCAAAAGGAACAUCCUCUAUGUCUGUUUGGGUCCCGGGUGGAAAAAAAUUCCUCUGUUCUCCAACACACUUGCUUUUCUUUUUAAAAACAUAAUUAAAGAGUAGAAGAUGAGAGUUAACAAGAUAUAAGAACAAUGCAUUCCUCUUGAUUCUUUAAACCUUUUGACAUCUUGGAAACAUCUUCCUUUUUAAUUGCAACUUACAAGCCAAAUCCUUUGUUCUUUGAUAAGGUCUCAGAAUUGGAUCUUGCCCUUUGCCCUGCUCACAGAAUCUUUCUUCCUGCAGGCAGCAGAAGAAUUGGGCCAGGUCUAGCCUACAGCUUCAAACAUCCAGUAGCGAAUAGAAAGGAUACAUUUUGUUUUUCAUUUUUAAACAUCAAUUUAAAUAAAUUUUAAAAUUAGGAAAUACACUCCUCUAUGCUUUAAGUUUAUUAUGUCUAAUGUUGGUCCCUGCGUGAAGUUUUUAAACCUUGAGAUGCGCUAUGGCCAUGUUGGAUUGUGUUGAUAUGCUAUGUAGAAGGUGAACAAGCGGGCAGAGCAUUGUCUGUCUUCCACUGAAGACCUGAUGGGAAGGUACGUGCAACAGUAAGCUCUUGUCUCACAACUCAUUCCACAUCUACAGCAAGAUACGAA
ensembl:lncRNA